GACGAACGCUGGCGGCGUGCUUAACACAUGCAAGUCGAACGGAAAGGCCCUUCGGGGUACUCGAGUGGCGAACGGGUGAGUAACACGUGGGUGAUCUGCCCUGCACUUUGGGAUAAGCCUGGGAAACUGGGUCUAAUACCGAAUAGGACCACGCGCUUCAUGGUGUGUGGUGGAAAGCUUUUGCGGUGUGGGAUGGGCCCGCGGCCUAUCAGCUUGUUGGUGGGGUAAUGGCCUACCAAGGCGACGCCGGGUAGCCGGCCUGAGAGGGUGACCGGCCACACUGGGACUGAGAUACGGCCCAGACUCCUACGGGAGGCAGCAGUGGGGAUUAUUGCACAAUGGGCGCAAGCCUGAUGCAGCGACGCCGCGUGAGGGAUGACGGCCUUCAGGUUGUAAACCUCUUUCAAUAGAGACGAAGCGCAAGUGACGGUACCUAUAGAAGAAGCACCGGCCAACUACGUG
rnacentral:rRNA from 1 species